GAUGAACGCUGGCGGCGUGCCUAAUACAUGCAAGUCGAGCGACCACACGAGGAGCUCGCUCCUCUGACGUUAGCGGCUGACGGGUGAGUAACACAUGGAUAACCUACCUAUUUGACUUGGAUAAUUUCGGGAAACCGCAGCUAAUACCGGCUAAUAUAUUCAACCGCAUGGUUCAUUAGUUAAAGACGUUUUUGCUGUCUUUUAUAGAUGGAUCCGCACCGAAUUAGUUAGUUGGUAAGGUAACGGCUUACCAAGGCGACGAGCCGGAGCUGAGCUCAGAGGAUGAUCGGCCAAACAGGAAGUGAGACGCGGUCAAGAUUCCUACGGGAGGCAGCAGUAGGGAAUCUUCUGCAAGGGGCGAAAGCCUGACGGAGCAACGCCGGGUGGGUGAAGAAGGACUGCGGAUCGUAAAACCCUGUUAUUAGGAAAGAAAAAAUGUAGAAGUAUCUACCGAAGUCUUGACGGUACCAAAACAGUAAGCCACGGAUAAAUACGUG
rnacentral:rRNA from 1 species